AGGUCGUCGACGUUGGUGCU
rnacentral:miRNA from 1 species